CACGUAGGCACCAAGCGUUGUCCGGAUUUAUUGGGCGUAAAGAGCUCGUAGGCGGUUGGGUAAGUCGGGUGUGAAAACUCCAGGCUCAACUUGGAGACGCCACCCGAUACUGCUCUGACUUGAGUUCGGUAGGGGAGUGGGGAAUUCCUGGUGUAGCGGUGAAAUGCGCAGAUAUCAGGAGGAACACCGGUGGCGAAGGCGGCAUCCUGGACCGACACUGACGCUGAGGAGCGAAAGCCAGGGGAGCAAACGGG
rnacentral:rRNA from 1 species